GACGAACGCUGGCGGCGUGCCUAAUACAUGCAAGUCGAACGAACCGCGACUAGGUGCUUGCACUUGGUCAAGGUGAGUGGCGAACGGGUGAGUAACACGUGGGUAACCUACCUCAUAGUGGGGGAUAACAGUCGGAAACGACUGCUAAUACCGCAUAGGACAUAGGAUCACAUGAUCCAGUGAGGAAAGGUGGCGCAAGCUAUCGCUAAGAGAUGGACCCGCGGUGCAUUAGCUAGUUGGGAGGGUAAAGGCCUACCAAGGCGAUGAUGCAUAGCCGACCUGAGAGGGUGAUCGGCCACAUUGGGACUGAGACACGGCCCAAACUCCUACGGGAGGCAGCAGUAGGGAAUCUUCCGCAAUGGACGCAAGUCUGACGGAGCAACGCCGCGUGAGUGAAGAAGGUCUUCGGAUCGUAAAGCUCUGUUGUUAGAGAAGAACAGCGCAUAGAGUAACUGUUAUGCGUGUGACGGUAUCUAACCAGAAAGCCACGGCUAACUACGUG
rnacentral:rRNA from 1 species